GAUGAACGCUGGCGGCGUGCCUAAUACAUGCAAGUCGAACGCUUCACUUCGGUGAAGAGUGGCGAACGGGUGAGUAAUACAUAAGUAACCUGGCAUCUACAGGGGGAUAACUGAUGGAAACGUCGGCUAAGACCGCAUAGGUGUAGAGAUCGCAUGAACUCUAUAUGAAAAGUGCUACGGGACUGGUAGAUGAUGGACUUAUGGCGCAUUAGCUUGUUGGUAGGGUAACGGCCUACCAAGGCGACGAUGCGUAGCCGACCUGAGAGGGUGACCGGCCACACUGGGACUGAGACACGGCCCAGACUCCUACGGGAGGCAGCAGUAGGGAAUUUUCGGCAAUGGGGGAAACCCUGACCGAGCAACGCCGCGUGAAGGAAGAAGUAAUUCGUUAUGUAAACUUCUGUCAUAGAGGAAGAACGGUGGAUAUAGGGAAUGAUAUCCAAGUGACGGUACUCUAUAAGAAAGCCACGG
rnacentral:rRNA from 1 species